AUGGAUGGAAGACAUAAUGAGAUAUUGCCAUCUCACUGUAUCUGCCAACCAGGUCUACAGAUAGAAGUACAGAAGGUACAGAAGGUGUCUCUGUCUGCAAACAUAGCAUAUGGAUAGAGACAGAGGAAUGUAUCUGUCUAUGGAAAUGUCUCUGUGUACUUGAGUAUUAAGUUAAAAUUAAAACUAAUGUCACUGAACAUUGUUAUUUUUCAGGAAAAAGCGGUCCAGCAGUGCCUUUUGCCACCUAGAGUAUUUUUUCAUAGGCAAUUCAAAGUGACAUCAAAACCAACAGGACAACUUAUGGAAAACACUAGGACAGCAGUGAACCUGUGUGUCUCCAUUCUCCUCCAUUGUGGACUACCAGUGGAACUUUUAAAAUGCAACCCUUUGAUGAUUUCUAGAGAAGUUCAGGACUGAGAGCAACUCAGAACUCAUCCAUGUUGGUUUUGUUUGGCUGUUCACCAAGUUUUAAACUUGCCCAAAUGUUUAAGAUGUACUGUUGGCGUUCCAAUAAAGUUUUGAAAAAUAUGUAACUUCAACAUUUCACAUUGCUGGAUCCCAUCCUUUCUUCAAAGGAAGAAAACGACAGACAUUUAGAAUUUUGACUGCAAGUUUUACAUAUCUUUGACAUGCAGUUUGCUUGGAAACUUUAAGGUUUGGGCACUUUUGUUUUAGUAAAGAUUGUUUAAUUCAUUGUAUUCAAUGUAAUGUUACCAUGAGGGUAAAUAUAUCAGUUAUGAUUUAAGA